AUUGAACGCUGGCGGCAGGCCUAACACAUGCAAGUCGAACGGUAACAGGAAGCAGCUUGCUGCUUCGCUGACGAGUGGCGGACGGGUGAGUAAUGUCUGGGAAGCUGCCUGAUGGAGGGGGAUAACUACUGGAAACGGUAGCUAAUACCGCAUAAUGUCGCAAGACCAAAGAGGGGGACCUUCGGGCCUCUUGCCAUCGGAUGUGCCCAGAUGGGAUUAGCUUGUUGGUGGGGUAACGGCUCACCAAGGCGACGAUCCCUAGCUGGUCUGAGAGGAUGACCAGCCACACUGGAACGGAGACACGGUCCAGACUCCUACGGGAGGCAGCAGUGGGGAAUAUUGCACAAUGGGCGCAAGCCUGAUGCAGCCAUGCCGCGUGUAUGAAGAAGGCCUUCGGGUUGUAAAGUACUUUCAGCGGGGAGGAAGGGAGUAAAGUUAAUACCUUUGCUCAUUGACGUUACCCGCAGAAGAAGCACCGGCUAACUCCGUG
rnacentral:rRNA from 1 species